CUAACAUAAUAAUUUAAUGAAUAAGGAAAAAAAAAAUUUUUUUUGAAUUGGUUAAGAAGAAACAGAUAUAAAUCCUUGCAUUUGGGCAGUGAAAAAUAGUUUGAUAAAGUAUCAUUUUAUUCUCAAACAGCCAGUUACUAUUGAUAGCACUAGCACUAUAACAAUGGCCAAAAUUUACUGAGAUAUGAUAAACUAGAUAAGCAUAUGGAGGUCUGUUGAGUUAUUUUUUUUAGAGGGAAAUUACUGU
rnacentral:misc_RNA from 1 species